rnacentral:rRNA from 1 species
GGUUGAUCCUGCCAGUAGUCAUAUGCUUGUCUCAAAGAUUAAGCCAUGCAUGUCUAAGUAUAAGCUUGUUUAUACGGCGAGACUGCGGAUGGCUCAUUAAAUCAGUUAUAGUUUAUUUGAUGGUCUCUUUUGAAUUGGUCAAACAAUUUACCCCUACUUGGAUAACCGUGGUAAUUCUAGAGCUAAUACAUGCGCAAGGUCCCGAGCGCGGGGCGGGGGGAAGGCCGUGGCCGUUCGCGCGGUCGCGGUCGCCACCCCCCGCUCGCAUGCCGCGGAGGGAUGUAUUUAUUAGG